UAUGCUGAAGAAAGGAAGAGAUGUUAAGCAUUUGGGGAAGAUAUCAGCAGAUGCUUUAUAUGUAGUGAAAGCAGAAAUCAAAAUCAGAAUGGAUAAGUUUGGAGGAUUCUCAGAAGAAAAACCUGCAACGGAUGAAAUCCAGGGGAUGUGUUCCAUGCUGAAGAGUGAAAUUGAGUAUGCUACUUCAAAACACUUCAAGGAAUUCAGAGCAGUUGAAUACUGUGACAAGAUAGUGGACGGAAAAUAUUACAUAAUUACAGUUCGUGUUUUGGAUGAUGCAUGUAUAUUUCUGGAGGUCUAUAAAUCUUUACCUGUAC